rnacentral:lncRNA from 1 species
CCCGAAGAACCGUUUACAUUAUUUACAGCAAGUGAGAUGGGAAAAUAUAAACUGUGUGGAAAUAAUAAUACUCUAUAACUAAAGCUUUUGUUUUUUGAAGUGCAUGGAAGAAGAUAAAAGACCCUCCAAAUAUUGAUAUUAGAAAGAAGUAGGAUCUCGUUAGCCACUGGAGAGACUUCAAAAAACUUUGGAAAGACCGAGCUGCAGAGAUAAAUCGUCAUAGGCGGAGGUGAGCUCUUAAUUUGUUAUUAUAUCUCCCCUGGAAAGGCUAAUGUUUGAUGCAACCGGUCUGGGAAAAUUAAUGAGCAAAUACCUAGAUUUGAUUUCAUCAGAACUGAGAGAAGAUGGCGUCUGCCAGCAGCAAAAUGACUUUUGGAUUGAUUUGGCAUAAACACCAGCAUGUGAGGAUAUACUGCAACAAUAGGCUUAUAAGCUGCAACAAUAGGAGAGUCAAACAUACAAAAUUCACACAGAAGCACAUCAUUGCUUACUCAGUAAGAAAAAGAUGAGUGAAAGUGCAGCAUAUCGCUUCUAUUGAAACAGACUGUGCUGGUCCUGUGGGUUACCUGAGAGGCGAGGUCCAAGUCCGGUCCGUGGUCAAAGGUGCGAUGUGGAGGCAGUCCGUAGUAGCUGAAGCUGGGUGCAGGGCAGGGAGUCGGGUGAGGUCAGGAACUCUAGCAGAAGAGCAGGACAGGGUCAGGCAGGAACAGGCUACAAACAAUGUUGCUCCCGCAACUUGGGACUGGGGCUGGCUGGCUUUUAUCUGCCCCAAGGCAUAGGGCGGCCCCGAUCCUCUGGUGACUCACCUCUCCUGGCCUGGAGGCGAGCACUCCUCCUGCAGAAACUUAGUUCCCUCCACCUCUCUGCCCUGAGCCUCUGUAGCUCAGGAGAGGCUGGAGGGUUACCGGACCCAGAGUCAACCUCAGCUUCCUCUGAUGGGGCUGAGAGUGGAGCACCUGCAGGCAAUGGGUUAUCGAUCACCUCCGGAGCCAGAGUGGAUUCAGCUGGUGUCUGCUCCUGAGGAUCCGGCACAGGUGAGGACCCUUCAGGCUCAUGCCAAAGCCCCGGCUCAGCUGGUUCUGAAGGCGGGGAAUCCUUUGCAGGCUGGGAUCCCUCAGGUUCAGCAUCAGAAUCUGAAUCCCAGGCCAUCACACAGACAUAAUAUCUGGAAACACAAAACCUCCAGGUCUCUGCUGGACAGCUCAGGAGUUUUAGUUCAGUCAAGAGUUCUAUAUUUUCAAAAAGUCUCAGAACAGAAAUUACCAUAUUUUUCGCUCUAUAAGACGCAACAGACCACAAGACGCACCUAGUUUUUGGAGGAGGAAAACAAGAAAAAAAAAAUCUGAAUCUCAGAAGCCAGAACAGCAAGAGGGAUCGCUGCGCAGUGAAAGCAGCAAUCCCUCUUGCUGUUCUGGCUUCUGGGAUAGCUGUGCAUCCUGCCUUCACUUCAUAAGGCGCAAACACAUUUCCCCUUACUUUUUAGGAGGGAAAAAGUAAGUCUUAUAGAGCAAAAAACACGGUAGUUUUGGAUUCAGAGUGUUUUCUGUAUUAACUGUGAAUAUCAGCUGACAGAGUACAUAUAAACAGAGUUAAGAAGCCUAAGAAGGUACAAAUAAUAAAAUUAUUAUUAUUAAGAAGGAAUUGAAACCUACCCCAAAUAGGUUUUUCAUCUCCUACUGAAAGAGAGAAGAGAAACUUACCAGUAGACCAUUCAAACAUUCUUUCCUCAAUUUUAAGUCCUACGUUUUAUUUUCUGGCAUAUAACAAUCUUGGUAACAGUUGCAUCCUUGCCAGCUAAUAAAGAAAACAUAACUUCAUAAUACCCAUGAUAGCUACUGCAGGGGGAUUUUACUGGGCCUGACUUGAAAAGUUGAAGAAGUCCAGCUGGAGGCGAACGGGCAAAUACCGAAAAUCAGGCAGGAAUGGGAACCCGAAAGUUUGCACAGCUGUGGCUUCUCUAGUAGCUUAUAACAUGUCUGCUAAAUUUUAAGAUCCAACAUAUGGGCCUUAUUUGAAAGUUUCAGUUAGGACAUGACACAUGAAAUGAAUGGCUAAGGAACCAAAAGGGUGGGCACCCAGAACUGCCCUUCUGAAAUCCAAAAUGUAUCUUUUAGAUUUCUCUCAGAUCAAUGCAACAUCAUUUAACCACUUCCCCUCUCUCCCUCUCUCUCUCUCUCUGUGUGUGUGUGUGAGAGAGAGAGAGAGAGAGAGAGAGAGCCCAUGGGGUUUUUUGGGGAGGGGGUUGCUAUUAUUGAUGUUAAUUUUGUGGAAAUUGUUCAAUUUGGUUCCCUAAUUUUAAAGUUUUAUUUAUUGUUUUUGACUACAUUGGUUAUGUUUGUAAUUAUGUGAUUUUUUUUCAUGUUUAAAGCCACACUGAGCAUGGUUUUGGCUAUGGAAAGGUGGGAUACCGACAAAAUUAUAUAUAUAUAUAUGCGUGUGUGUGUGUGUGUGUGUGUGUGGACACAGAGCUAUGAACAGCUAUAGACGUGGUACAUUUGUUCCCAUCUUCCCCCUUGAAAUUCUGUGUUGCCAUUUCUUUUUAGGUAUCACUCUUUCUAACACCAAGAUCACCAGGAGUGUCAACAAGAUUGGAACUAAGGAAACAAGAGGGAGGUACCAGGGUGCAUGGGAGGUUUGCAGAAGCACAAAAUAUUUUUUACACAAAGACCCAAGGGAGCAGCCACUUCCCAGAAGACCCCAUAAAGGCUGAACAUCUUGGCAGCCACACAGUGUUGAGUGCUGGGCAGAGAAAACAGAAAACCGUUGGAGGGGAGGAACAACGAAAAUGCACCACCCAGUGUCAUUGUGACGUCAGGUGAUUGGUACAUGGGCGACACCACUCAUGGGUCAACCUUAGCCCAUGGACUGUGUGGCAGAGAUUGGGAUCCAUUUUUAAAUCACUUUCUUCGCCCUUGAAAUAGGAGGGAUGAUAGCCUUUCAAAACAGAGGACUGUGUUAUGAAGAUGGCAUGCGG